rnacentral:rRNA from 1 species
CAGUAGCCGCGGGAAUACGUAGGGUGCAAGCGUUAAUCGGAAUUACUGGGCGUAAAGCGUGCGCAGGCGGUUAUAUAAGACAGAUGUGAAAUCCCUGGGCUCAACCUGGGAACUGCAUUUGUGACUGUAUAGCUUGAGUACGGCAGAGGGGGAUGGAAUUCCGCGUGUAGCAGUGAAAUGCGUAGAUAUGCGGAGGAACACCGAUGGCGAAGGCAAUCCCCUGGGCCUGUACUGACGCUCAUGCACGAAAGCGUGGGGAGCAAACAGGAUUAGAGACCCCUGUAGUCCCUGUCUCUUAUAC